UACAGAGACUGCAAGCGUUAUUCGGAUUCACUGGGCGUAAAGGGUGCGCAGGCGGUUGGGUGUGUCAGAUGUGAAAUCCCGAGGCUUAACCUCGGAACUGCGUCUGAAACUACUCGACUAGAGUACUGGAGAGGGUAACGGAAUUCACGGUGUAGCAGUGAAAUGCGUAGAUAUGCGGAGGAACACCGAUGGCGAAGGCAGCAUACUGGGCCUGUACUGACGCUGAGACGCGAAAGCGUGGGUAGCAAACGGG
rnacentral:rRNA from 1 species